rnacentral:tRNA from 1 species
GGGCGGGUGAGACCGGUGAACGCUUGUCGGUCUUGAAAACCGUCGUGGCAGCGAUGUCACCGAGGGUUCAAAUCCCUCAGCCUCCGCCCA